rnacentral:tRNA from 1 species
AAGGCCUUAGCUUAGUUAAAGUGUCUGGGUUGCAUUCAGAAGAUGUGGGGUAGUACCCUGCAGGUUUUA